UACGUAGGGUGCAAGCGUUAAUCGGAAUUACUGGGCGUAAAGCGUGCGCAGGCGGUUGUGCAAGACAGGUGUGAAAUCCCCGGGCUUAACCUGGGAACUGCACUUGUGACUGCACAGCUGGAGUACGGUAGAGGGGGAUGGAAUUCCGCGUGUAGCAGUGAAAUGCGUAGAUAUGCGGAGGAACACCGAUGGCGAAGGCAGCCUCCUGGGCCAGCACUGACGCUCAUGCACGAAAGCGUGGGGAGCAAACAGG
rnacentral:rRNA from 1 species